UUCCUUUAGAGCCAACAAAAUUGGGGAAUGGCUUAAUCGACACAAUUUCGGGCAUGGGAAUGGGAAUUAGAUAUAGACAUAUUCGGACAUUUUGAAAGGUGCAGCUUCUACGCAACUUCAGUACGAAGACACAAGGCAAAACAAUCAGUUAACAUUUAGAACUCGAGGGAUCUCAUAUAUUUAGCAAUUUCGCCAGCGCUCCAAAUUAUGAGCAUCAGAGCUACACCAUUCAUUAUAUGGCGCCGGUGUUCAUAUGAUUAAUCUCAAGACUGUUCGUGAUUGGUAAGAGCUGUGAUAAAUCGCGAAGCAAUGGCCGGCAAAAAGGGGGGCAAAGGAAAAAAUAAGGCGCCAAAGGAGAAAAAGGAAAAGAAACCAAAGCACAAAGGGCGAAAAGGAAAAAAGGAGAAGAAAGAGAAAGUUAAAGCCGAUGCAUACAGUGCCGUGGCCAUGGAAAACGCCUAUUACAUCUGUCAUGAUGUAGCCGACUUCCUGCAUUACCGAGGGUUUAAAUGGCACGGUGCUGGGAAGAAGAAAGGAAAGAAGGGCAAGAAAUAAAACGAAUCAUACCGCUUCCAUCAAUACAUUGGAAUGACAAACAUC